rnacentral:tRNA from 1 species
GCGGGCGUGGCGGAACGGCAGACGCGUGCGGCUUAGGACCGUAUGGGCUUUGCCCGUGGGAGUUCGAGUCUCCCCGCCCGCACCA